ensembl:lncRNA
UCUAUUUGGAUUGAAUUUCUUCAUAGCAAAACCAAUGAAUUACUGAACAGAUUGGACGUGGGUUUGCCAAAGAGUGAUUCCUGUCAGAUUGCUAAUCCUGGCCCAGAAUCUACAGCAUGGAAAAGAAGCCAUGCUUAUAAGCAAGCUCUUCGAGAGGAUGAAAACAGAAGAUUAGAGGAAAUGAAGCAAGAACAACAGAGGAAGGCUGAAUUAUUGGAAUUUAAACAAAAGCAGGAAGAGGAAACCAGGACAAGAACACUAAAAAAUGAACAGAGGAGGGUAAAUAAUGCUUUCCUGGACCGACUCCAGAACAGAACACAGCCUAAUAACAUCUACCACCCUGGAUAUACUGGACUACCUCAAUAAUGGCACCUUGGUAAGUUUUUUGGUACAGAAUGGAGAAGCAAUGAGAUUGUUCAAAUAUUGAAUUUUUCUCCAGA